rnacentral:rRNA from 1 species
GACGAACCGUGCGAACGUUAUUCGGAAUCACUGGGCUUAAAGCGCGUGUAGGCGGGCCGCCGCGUCGGCUGCUGAAAUCCCCCCGGCUCAACCGGGGAACGGGCACCGAUACGGGCGGCCUCGAGGGGGGUAGGGGGGGCCUGGAACGUUCCGGUGGAGCGGUGAAAUGCGUUGAGAUCGGAAGGAACGCCCGUGGCGAAAGCGAGGCCCUGGACCCUUACUGACGCUGAGACGCGAAAGCCAGGGGAGCGAACGGG